AUCUCGGUGGUCUAAUGGCUUAGGAUGCUUGUACGGAAUACAAGAGAUUCGAGUUCAAGUCCCGAUCGAGAUA
rfam:Atta cephalotes unplaced genomic scaffold scaffold00011, whole genome shotgun sequence.